CGUAGGGUCCAAGCGUUAUCCGGAAUCACUGGGCGUAAAGCGUGCGUAGGUGGCGUGUUAAGUGAAAUGUUAAAUCGUGUGGCUCAACCAUAUCGAUGCAUCUCAUACUGGCAUGCUAGAGGACAGCAGAGGCAAGUGGAAUUACGAGUGUAGCAGUGAAAUGCGUAGAUAUUCGUAGGAACACCAAUGGCGAAGGCAGCUUGCUGGGCUACUCCUGACACUGAGGUACGAAAGCGUGGGGAGCGAACAGGAUUAGAUACCCUGGUAGUCCACGCCGUAAACGAUGCAUACUAGCCUUAUGGGGUAUCGACCCCCUGUGAGACGAAGCUAACGCGAUAAGUAUGCCGCCUGGGAAGUACGGCCGCAAGGCU
rnacentral:rRNA from 1 species